ensembl:snRNA U4 U4 spliceosomal RNA
AGCUUUGCGCAGUGGCAGUAUUGUAGCCAAUGAGGUUUAUCCGAGGUGCGAUUAUUGCUAAUUGAAAACUUUUCCCAUAACUUUCUUUCUGAUUGUGUCUGAAAGUUAUCAUUUUCCAUAGAUGGA